CCAGAACCUCCAGAGAUGUCACAGGCCCAGCACUGUGGCUCGUGGCCGACCGCGUCCUGGAGGGUCUCGCUGUGUUUAUCCCUGUGAGGUCCUUCUACAGAGCUUUCAAGGAAGACAGAGUUCAGCCUGUUUAUUGGGAAGACUUUAAUCCUUCCCAAGACAUCUACUGUGUCACCGUACCACUGUGGCCCAGCGCCUGGUGGAGUGAGUCCAGAGCCCCAGGGGUGUCCCCUCCCCGCCUUUCUCCUGGUGUCUAGGGGCACCCAGAAACCCUCACCCCAGAUUAGACCAGCUCGUUGGCAACGUCCCUCGGCCAUGGAGAGAUACAGCAGAAGCUGGAGGCGACGGGAGGAUCCUGGCCCAGAGCCUCCGGAGGGAGUGGGGGCCGUGUUCCAGAAGCCUGAGAGUCCUGC
rnacentral:lncRNA from 1 species